GAAAUGCGAUAAGUAAUGUGAAUUGCAGAAUUCAGUGAAUCAUCGAAUCUUUGAACGCACCUUGCGCCCUUUGGUAUUCCGAGGGGCAUGCCUGUUUGAGUGUCAUUAAAUACCAUCAACCCUCUUUUGACUUCGGUCUCGAGAGUGACUUGGAAGUGGAGGUCUGCUGGAGCCUAACGGAGCCAGCUCCUCUUAAAUGUAUUAGCGGAUUUCCCUUGCGGGAUCGCGUCUCCGAUGUGAUAAUUUCUACGUCGUUGACCAUCUCGGGGCUGACCUAGUCAGUUUCAAUAGGAGUCUGCUUCUAACCGUCUCUUGACUGAGACUAGCGACUUGUGCGCUAACUUUUGACUUGACCUCAAAUCAGGUAGGACUACCCGCUGAACUUAAGC
rnacentral:misc_RNA from 1 species